CCGGAAGCAUUGUGGAGGUGUUCGAUGACUGUUCAUGGAAAAUUGCCGUGAUCUUGAAAGUUCUGAAUGGCAAUCAAUAUUUAGUAAGGCUUCUCGGGUGCUCUCUGGAAUUAAUAAUCAACAGAUCAAAUGCUAGGAUUAGACAAACUUGGCACAAUGAUGGGAAGGUACUUUACUACUUUCAUUUAUUUGUUGAGAUCUUAAUUUUCUGCAGUACAUGUUUCUUUACGACAGUUGAUCGACCCCCACAUAUUCUUCCUCAAGACAACAUCAAUCUUGCUUUGUUAGACGUUCCUUUUUCUUUCCUUUUUUUCCACUUAUUUGCCUGAUUACUUGUAAAUCCUUUGCUUGCAAUCUCUGAU
rnacentral:lncRNA from 1 species